rnacentral:rRNA from 1 species
ACGAACGCUGGCGGCGUGGAUAAGACAUGCAAGUCGAACGGGAGAAUUGCUAGCUUGCUAAUAAUUCUCUAGUGGCGCACGGGUGAGUAACACGUGAGUAACCUGCCUCUUAGUGGGGGAUAGCCCUGGGAAACCGGGAUUAAUACCGCAUACGAUUGAAAGAUCAAAGCAGCAAUGCGCUAGGAGAUGGGCUCGCGGCCUAUUAGUUAGUUGGUGAGGUAACGGCUCACCAAGGCGAUGACGGGUAGCCGGUCUGAGAGGAUGUCCGGCCACACUGGAACUGAGACACGGUCCAGACACCUACGGGUGGCAGCAGUCGAGAAUCAUUCACAAUGGGGGCAACCCUGAUGGUGCGACGCCGCGUGGGGGAAUGAAGGUCUUCGGAUUGUAAACCCCUGUCAUGUGGGAGCAAAUUAAAAAGAUAGUACCACAAGAGGAAGAGACGGCUAACUCUGUGCCAGCAGCCGCGGUAAUACAGAGGUCUCAAGCGUUGUUCGGAAUCACUGGGCGUAAAGCGUGCGUAGGCUGUUUCGUAAGUCGUGUGUGAAAGGCAGGGGCUCAACCCCUGGAUUGCACAUGAUACUGCGAGACUAGAGUAAUGGAGGGGGAACCGGAAUUCUCGGUGUAGCAGUGAAAUGCGUAGAUAUCGAGAGGAACACUCGUGGCGAAGGCGGGUUCCUGGACAUUAACUGACGCUGAGGCACGAAGGCCAGGGGAGCGAAAGGGAUUAGAUACCCCUGUAGUCCUGGCAGUAAACGGUGCACGCUUGGUGUGCGGGGAAUCGACCCCCUGCGUGCCGGAGCUAACGCGUUAAGCGUGCCGCCUGGGGAGUACGGUCGCAAGAUUAAAACUCAAAGAAAUUGACGGGGACCCGCACAAGCGGUGGAGUAUGUGGCUUAAUUCGAUGCAACGCGAAGAACCUUACCUGGGCUUGACAUGUAAUGAACAACAUGUGAAAGCAUGCGACUCUUCGGGGGCGUUACACAGGUGCUGCAUGGCCGUCGUCAGCUCGUGUCGUGAGAUGUUUGGUUAAGUCCAGCAACGAGCGCAACCCCUGUUGCCAGUUACCAGCACGUCAAGGUGGGGACUCUGGCGAGACUGCCCAGAUCAACUGGGAGGAAGGUGGGGACGACGUCAGGUCAGUAUGGCCCUUAUGCCCAGGGCUGCACACGUACUACAAUGCCCAGUACAGAGGGGGCCGAAGCCGCGAGGCGGAGGAAAUCCUGAAAACUGGGCCCAGUUCGGACUGUAGGCUGCAACCCGCCUACACGAAGCCGGAAUCGCUAGUAAUGGCGCAUCAGCUACGGCGCCGUGAAUACGUUCCCGGGUCUUGUACACACCGCCCGUCACAUCAUGGAAGCCGGUCGCACCCGAAGUAUCUGAAGCCAACCGCAAGGAGGCAGGGUCCUAAGGUGAGACUGGUAACUGGGAUG